rnacentral:rRNA from 1 species
AGUGAACGCUGGCGGUAGGCCUAACACAUGCAAGUCGAACGGCAGCACAGGAGAGCUUGCUCUCUGGGUGGCGAGCGGCGGACGGGUGAGGAAUACAUCGGAAUCUACUCUGUCGUGGGGGAUAACGUAGGGAAACUUACGCUAAUACCGCAUACGACCUACGGGUGAAAGCAGGGGAUCUUCGGACCUUGCGCGAUUGAAUGAGCCGAUGUUGGAUUAGCUAGUUGGCGGGGUAAAGGCCCACCAAGGCGACGAUCCGUAGCUGGACUGAGGGGAUGAUCAGCCAGACUGGAACUCAGACAAGGUGCAGGCUCCGACGGGGGGCAGCAGGCGGGAAUCUUGGACAAUGGGCGCAAGCGUGAUCCAGCCGUACCGCGUGGGUGAAGAAGGCGUUCGGGUUGUAAAGCCCUUUUGUUGGGAAAGCAACCCAGCUGGCUCAUACCCGGUUGGGAUGACGGUACCCAAAGAAUAAGCACCGGCUAACUUCGUGCCAGCCGCCGCCGUAA